rnacentral:rRNA from 1 species
AUUGAACGCUGGCGGCCGGCCUAACACAUGCAAGUCGAGCGAGCGGCGGACGGGUGAGUAAUGUCUGGGAAACUGCCUGAUGGAGGGGGAUAACUACUGGAAACGGUAGCUAAUACCGCAUACCAUCGGAUGUGCCCAGAUGGGAUUAGCUAGUAGGUGGGGUAAAGGCUCACCUAGGCGACGAUCCCUAGCUGGUCUGAGAGGAUUAGCAGCCAACAUGGAACUGGGACACGGUCCAGACUCCGACGGGGGGCAGCCGUGGGGAAUAUUGCACAAUGGGCGGAAGCCUGAUUGAGCCAUGCCGCGUGUAUUGAGAAGGCCUUCGGGUUUUAAAGUACUUUCAGCUGGGAGGCGUUACCCGCAGAAGAAGCACCGGCUAACUCCGGGCCAGCCGCCGCGAUAAUAC